rnacentral:rRNA from 1 species
GAUUCGUCACACUAUCAUUAACUGAAUCCAUAGGUUAAUGAGGCGAACCGGGGGAACUGAAACAUCUAAGUACCCCGAGGAAAAGAAAUCAACCGAGAUUCCCCCAGUAGCGGCGAGCGAACGGGGAGGAGCCCAGAGCCUGAAUCAGCAUGUGUGUUAGUGGAAGCGUCUGGAAAGGCGCGCGAUACAGGGUGACAGCCCCGUACACAAAAGCGCAUGUGCUGUGAGCUCGAUGAGUAGGGCGGGACACGUGGUAUCCUGUCUGAAUAUGGGGGGACCAUCCUCCAAGGCUAAAUACUCCUGACUGACCGAUAGUGAACCAGUACCGUGAGGGAAAGGCGAAAAGAACCCCGGCGAGGGGAGUGAAAAAGAACCUGAAACCGUGUACGUACAAGCAGUGGGAGCACAGGUUUACCUGUGUGACUGCGUACCUUUUGUAUAAUGGGUCAGCGACUUAUAUUCUGUAGCAAGGUUAACCGUAUAGGGGAGCCGGAGGGAAACCGAGUCUUAAUUGGGCGUUAAGUUGCAGGGUAUAGACCCGAAACCCGGUGAUCUAGCCAUGGGCAGGUUGAAGGUUGGGUAACACUAACUGGAGGACCGAACCGACUAAUGUUGAAAAAUUAGCGGAUGACCUGUGGCUGGGGGUGAAAGGCCAAUCAAACCGGGAGAUAGCUGGUUCUCCCCGAAAGCUAUUUAGGUAGCGCCUCGUGAAUUCAUCUCCGGGGGUAGAGCACUGUUUCGGCUAGGGGGCCAUCCCGGCUUACCAACCCGAUGCAAACUGCGAAUACCGGAGAAUGUUAUCACGGGAGACACACGGCGGGUGCUAACGUCCGUCGUGAAGAGGGAAACAACCCAGACCGCCAGCUAAGGUCCCAAAGUCAUGGUUAAGUGGGAAACGAUGUGGGAAGGCCCAGACAGCCAGGAUGUUGGCUUAGAAGCAGCCAUCAUUUAAAGAAAGCGUAAUAGCUCACUGGUCGAGUCGGCCUGCGCGGAAGAUGUAACGGGGCUAAACCAUGCACCGAAGCUGCGGCAGCGACGCUUAUGCGUUGUUGGGUAGGGGAGCG